rnacentral:tRNA from 1 species
ACUUUUAAAGGAAAGCAGUCAUCCGGUGGUCUUAGGAACCAAAUCCCUUGGUGCAAAUCCAAGUAAAAGUAAUG